AUGAGAAUCGUUUGUAACAAAUGCAAAGGUGGGUCUUACCACCAAGCUGUUGGAUAGGAUCCUUGUGAUUUGCCCUGACAUUAUAGCUCUUAGGAUAACUACGCAUGCCUGCCCUAAGACAUUCAUGUGCUGCUUCUUGAUGUUUCAUGUUAGGUUCACUGUAAUUGAAAAGCAGCAGUGUCUAUCAUGAGAGCUGCACACACAUUUUUAGUGCCCUUCAGUAAUCUUUUCUGUUGUUGCAGGAUCCUUGGAGAGUUUAAGGCAUGGAGCUUCCUGUUUUGCAGAGUGUGUAGGACACAGUGCAGUGUACUUCCCCAAAGGAGCUAGAUACAGCUACAGGUAUUCAGCAGUCACCACCACAUUCCUGCAGGGAAGCAUUUACAAAAGCAGUGGCAUCUCUCUGGAGAGCACAGUGACCAUUGAGGCACUGGGGAGGUGCCAGAUGGUUUUGAAAGUGCAAGAUGUACAAAUAAAGAAAAUUCUUGCAUCCAGAGAGAAGUCUCUGAAGGAAAUGGACAGUCUAAGGUAGAAAAACUUCUAAUCUGGCUUAGUUCUUGGUUUUUUUUGAAGCUAUAUUGUUUAGCAGCACUUUCGUACCAUUGACUGUAUGUUUUGUACUCUGC
rnacentral:lncRNA from 1 species